rnacentral:SRP_RNA from 10 species
AUCAGCACUGAGCUGGUGCUGUAGUCCCAGCUACUGGGGAGACUGAGGUAGGAAGAUCACUGGAGUCCAGAAGUUCUGGGCUGUAGUGUGCUAUCCCUUUUGGGUGUCCACACUGUUUGGCAUCAAUAUACUGACCUCCCAGGAGUGGGGGACUACUAGUUUGCCUAAUGAGGGGUGAAGCAGCCCAGGUCUGAAAUAGAAGAGGUCAAAACUCCCAUGCUGAUCUGUAUAUCAGCAAUGUAUACAGUCUUGAGGAAUCACACAGGACAGAAAGUACCUGAAUCUUAAUC